rnacentral:lncRNA from 1 species
AUGAGUUUUUCUUACUGAGAGUGACCAAAGCAGAACAUAGGAAGGAGUGCAGCAAAUCAAAGAAGCAAAGAAAAGGUUGGGAAGACAGACAAGCAGCAGCUAAUGCAGCCAUGCCACGGUGUUGAAGCGCGACGUCGGGUGAAAUGCAGGCAUUGUGUGGAGCCGUGAGAGCGCCAGCAGUGCACGGCACGUGGGAACACAUUCAGGCCUACACCAAUGAGAAGAAACAGGAAAGGCUGUGGGCAUCCCACUGCCUUUGCUGUGCUGAUUCCUGGGGAAGCAGA